rnacentral:rRNA from 1 species
UACGAAGGGGGCUAGCGUUGCUCGGAAUCACUGGGCGUAAAGGGUGCGUAGGCGGGUCUUUAAGUCAGGGGUGAAAGCCUGGAGCUCAACUCCAGAACUGCCUUUGAUACUGAGGAUCUCGAGUUCGGGAGAGGUGAGUGGAACUGCGAGUGUAGAGGUGAAAUUCGUAGAUAUUCGCAAGAACACCAGUGGCGAAGGCGGCUCACUGGCCCGAUACUGACGCUGAGGCACGAAAGCGUGGGGAGCAAACAGG